GAUGAACGCUAGCGGCAGGCCUAAUACAUGCAAGUCGAACGGGAUUGCGGUAGUAGCUUGCUACUACUGCAUGAGAGUGCCGCACGGGUGCGUAACGCGUGAGCAACCUACCCAUAUCAGGGGGAUAGCCCGGCGAAAGUCGGAUUAACACCGCAUAACAUCAACAGUUCGCAUGUUCAGUUGAUUAAAUAUUUAUAGGAUAUGGAUGGGCUCGCGUGACAUUAGCUAGUUGGUAGGGUAACGGCUUACCAAGGCAACGAUGUCUAGGGGCUCUGAGAGGAGAAUCCCCCACACUGGUACUGAGACACGGACCAGACUCCUACGGGAGGCAGCAGUAAGGAAUAUUGGUCAAUGGGCGCAAGCCUGAACCAGCCAUGCCGCGUGCAGGAGGACUGCCCUAUGGGUUGUAAACUGCUUUUAUCAGGGAAUAAACCCCUUUACGAGUAGAGGGUUGAAUGUACCUGAAGAAUAAGGAUCGGCUAACUCCGUG
rnacentral:rRNA from 1 species